UGGAGGCAUUCCCCCCCUUAUUUCCUUUCUGUUUUCCUGCUGUGGCACUGUGCAACGCAGAACCCGUGAUAAAGAGGACAGCGUGGGUAUGAGGGAGAGGUGCAGAAAUCAGGAGAGGCAAACCACUCCAAGGACUGCCAAGCUGAGAUUUGAAGCAAAGGGGAGGACGUGUGGUAUGUCUGUGAGAGGCUGCAUGGCGCAGGGCAGUCCGAACUUACAAGCUCCAUCCAAUUUCCUUUCAAGAGCCUAGUAAAAGUGGUUUGGCGGGAGCAACAGGCAAGAGGACUGUCCUGAUAUGUGAAACUAGUGAUCAUGAAUCCCUUCCUCCUAAGGAGUAUCAGAUAAUAAAACUAUCUGAGAAGAGAUGCUUCGCUCAGUAAUUUUUCUCCUUUCCUCCAUGAAUUCAGUUUUGCCAAUUAGAGUUGGUUACAAAGUUUUAAGAUGGAGGCGUCUUCCCACACACUUAUUAUAAGACUGGUCAAAUUAUCCUCUCUGAGCUGCUGAUACCCCAGGCUAUUCUACUGGAAUUGCGCUUUUCAACAUCAAGGGAAGAAAGAGGCAUCUGUCAUACACAUUGUGCUGAAAACGACAUACAUCUAUAGACUCCUUAUUCAGAGCACUGACUUCUUUGUCCCCAUGAUCAUUAUCACAGUGCUCUGCCUGAUAAUUGACUGCCAUCUCACCAAGGGGCAGCUGUCUUUGAGGCAGCUAGACAGAAGCAGAGGAAGAUAUGAAGAUAUCAAGCUCAACAGAAAUACCCAACAGGGGAACAGCAGAAGGCAAAAAAGAUCAACAAAAUGUUGUGUAAGCAG